rnacentral:rRNA from 1 species
AUUGAACGCUGGCGGCAGGCCUAACACAUGCAAGUCGAGCGAGCGGCGGACGGGUGAGUAAUGUAUGGGGAACUGCCCGAUAGAGGGGGAUAACUACUGGAAACGGUGGCUAAUACCGCAUACUAUCGGAUGAACCCAGAUGGGAUUAGCUAGUAGGUGGGGUAAAGGCUCACCUAGGCGACGAUCCCUAGCUGGUCUGAGAGGAUGACCAGCCACACUGGAACUGAGACACGGUCCAGACUCCUACGGUAGGCAUCAGUGGGGAAUAUUGCACAAUGGGCGCAAGCCUGAUGCAGCCAUGCCGCGUGUAUGAAGAAGGCCUUAGGGUUGUAAAGUACUUUCAGCGAGGAGGCGUUACUCGCAGAAGAAGCACCGGCUAACUCCGUGCCAGCCGCCGCGGUAAUAC